ensembl:snoRNA SNORD22 Small nucleolar RNA SNORD22
UCCCAGUGAAGAAACAUUAAGGGACAUAACUCCUGUCCUAGUUCCAGAUCCUGUAAAGGUGAACCCAGUGGGGCUGACUGGGGAGAGGAGGAAAGUUUAUUGAAAAAGGAACUGUCUGAGAGAG